GAACCAGCUAAAGGACUAUGAACUUAGAGUGGAACAAGAAGCAAAGAUCUCAGUUAAACCUAAAACUGUUGAAAGGAAAAAAACAGAUACUCUGACCGGCAAGGGAGAAAAACAGAUACUGAGAGGAAGACACAGUGUUCCAGGAAACC